rnacentral:rRNA from 1 species
GAUGAACGCUGGCGGCGUGCCUAAUACAUGCAAGUCGAGCGAACAGACGAGGAGCUUGCUCCUCUGACGUUAGCGGCGGACGGGUGAGUAACACGUGGAUAACCUACCUAUAAGACUGGGAUAACUUCGGGAAACCGGAGCUAAUACCGGAUAAUAUAUUGAACCGCAUGGUUCAAUAGUGAAAGACGGUUUUGCUGUCACUUAUAGAUGGAUCCGCGCCGCAUUAGCUAGUUGGUAAGGUAACGGCUUACCAAGGCAACGAUGCGUAGCCGACCUGAGAGGGUGAUCGGCUACACUGGAACUGAGACACGGUCCAGACUCCUACGGGAGGCAGCAGUAGGGAAUCUUCCGCAAUGGGCGAAAGCUUGACGGAGCAACGCCGCGUGAGUAAUGAAGGUCUUCGGAUCGUAAAACUCUGUUAUUAGGGAAGAACAAAUGUGUAAGUAACUAUGCACGUCUUGACGGUACCUAAUCAGAAAGCCACGGCUAACUACGUG